rnacentral:rRNA from 1 species
AUGAACGCUGGCGGCGUGCCUAAUACAUGCAAGUCGAGCGAACAGACGAGGAGCUUGCUCCUCUGACGUUAGCGGCGGACGGGUGAGUAACACGUGGAUAACCUACCUAUAAGACUGGGAUAACUUCGGGAAACCGGAGCUAAUACCGGAUAAUAUAUUGAACCGCAUGGUUCAAUAGUGAAAGACGGUUUUGCUGUCACUUAUAGAUGGAUCCGCGCCGCAUUAGCUAGUUGGUAAGGUAACGGCUUACCAAGGCAACGAUGCGUAGCCGACCUGAGAGGGUGAUCGGCCACACUGGAACUGAGACACGGUCCAGACUCUUACGGGAGGCAGCAGUAGGGAAUCUUCCGCAAUGGGCGAAAGCCUGACGGAGCAACGCCGCGUGAGUGAUGAAGGUCUUCGGAUCGUAAAACUCUGUUAUUAGGGAAGAACAAAUGUGUAAGUAACUAUGCACGUCUUGACGGUACCUAAUCAGAAAGCCACGGCUAACUAUGUG